GAUGAACGCUGGCGGCGUGCCUAAUACAUGCAAGUCGAGCGAACAGACGAGGAGCUUGCUUCUCUGACGUUAGCGGCGGACGGGUGAGUAACACGUGGAUAACCUACCUAUAAGACUGGGAUAACUUCGGGAAACCGGAGCUAAUACCGGAUAAUAUAUUGAACCGCAUGGUUCAAUAGUGAAAGACGGUUUUGCUGUCACUUAUAGAUGGAUCCGCGCCGCAUUAGCUAGUUGGUAGGGUAACGGCUUACCAAGGCAACGAUGCGUAGCCGACCUGAGAGGGUGAUCGGCCACACUGGAACUGAGACACGGUCCAGACUCCUACGGGAGGCAGCAGUAGGGAAUCUUCCGCAAUGGGCGAAAGCCUGACGGAGCAACGCCGCGUGAGUGAUGAAGGUCUUCGGAUCGUAAAACUCUGUUAUUAGGGAAGAACAAAUGUGUAAGUAACUAUGCACGUCUUGACGGUACCUAAUCAGAAAGCCACGGCUAACUACGUG
rnacentral:rRNA from 1 species